rnacentral:rRNA from 1 species
CUCAGCAGCCGCGGUAAUACAUAGGGUGCGAGCGUUAAUCGGAAUUACUGGGCGUAAAGGGUGCGCAGGCGGUUUUGUAAGUCAGAUGUGAAAUCCCCGAGCUCAACUUGGGAACUGCGUUYGAWACURYMAGACUAGAGUGUGUCAGAGGGGGGUAGAAUUCCWCGUGUAGCAGUGAAAUGCGUAGAUAUGUGGAGGAAYACCAAUGGCGAAGGCAGCCCCCUGGGAUAACACUGACGCUCAUGCACGAAAGCGUGGGGAGCAAACAGGAUUAGAUACCCUGGUAGUCCACGCCCUAAACGAUGUCUACUAGUUGUUGGUGGAGUAAAAUCCAUGAGUAACGCAGCUAACGCGUGAAGUAGACCGCCUGGGGAGUACGGUCGCAAGAUUAAAACUCAAAGGAAUUGACGG